CAAGACCGGCAACCGAAGAUGAAGAACAGUUCGGAAGAAUCGAGGAGCGUCCCUAACUUGAAGACCGGUUCAGGGGGCUACUGACGGUGUCCUGGACUAGGGGGUACUCAACGCGUCGUCUCCCGAUCAGUUGGAUUGGGCCGAGGACCCCCAUGGCCGUAUACUCAUGGGCCAGUCCGGACAGCUGCCGCAUACAAAGAAGAAUCAACAAGACUUGGCGAUCAAGACAAGUACUCCUCCCUCACCGGCGUAUUCGGUUAGGACUCUUGUUAUCCUAGGCCUCUGGUGCAUUAUAUAAACCGGGGCCAGGCUAGUCGAUAGAUAUAGACAACAUCAAUCAUACCAUAGGCUAGCUUCUAGGGAUUAUCCUCUCUGAUCUCGUGGUAGAUCAACUCUUGUAAUACCCACAUCAUCAAUAUCAAUCAAGCAGGACGUAGGGUUUUACCUCCAUCAAGAGGGCCCGAACCUGGGUAAAACAUCGUGUCCCUUACCUCCUGUUACCAUUGAUCCUAAGACGCACUGCUUGGGAACCCCUACCCGAGAUCCGCCGGUUUUGACACCGACAGACAUUUUAAUUACCCAUGAUGCAUUUUCUUUUUGUUAACUUAUUUCAUUGUUCUCAUCUGCCAACAAAAUUCUCUAUUACGGUGCAAUUAUAAAGCUUAUACUUCAGUCAUUUCUGUUUUUUUGUAUCACAACAGUUUUGAGAUUGGCCUUGUUAUCAUUGUACAAGACAUCUUAGGUAAGAUCCCAUGUGCUGAUGGGUUAGUUUCUCAUGUAAACUCAUCUUUUAUGGUGUUCUGUGAUAAUCAUGGCAGACUAAAGAUAUGUUAUCUAUGCGGUAUAAUAGUACCAUUAAAAUUCAAGCUCCCUUUGGCAUUGUAACAGUGCUGUCUAAUUAUCAUGCAGCGCAAAUAUCUAACUAAAUUGCGCUAUGGAGCUUGCAUUGCUUUUAGUUUUGGACAUGAACAUAGAUGCCUCUGAUUAUUACCUUGGGACAUGGCUUUUGCCUUCGAAAUUUUUGUUAUUCUGAACUAUGCUUAUGGAUCUCAUUUAAUCAGGUGCACACACAUUUGCAGUGUUUAUCAACUAGUACAGGUCGCUGUCUGUCGUCUCUUUCUAUCUGCUCCUCCUCUCGUUGACUUGGCAUGCUGGUCCCUGCCGUGUCUCCCACUGGCUUGCCCCUUGCCAUCGUCAGGAGGGUUGUGUGGGCUGUUCUACAUUGGAAUCCAUAUUAACUAUGAAAAGAUCGCCACCAUGCCGUCUCUCUCUGUGACCGCCUCUCCCAACGUUUUGGUUUGUUGGUUGACGUUGUGUCUCCCGCCGCCAUUGCUGGAAGGGUUGUGUAGGCCGCCGCUCAUGCCACUACUCUAUAGUGACCAGUGAGGACCGUGGCAUCGAGAUAGCCCAAAAGGGAAACACCACCGGCCACGGCGCCGGUGGAGGCCUCCCCGUCUGCCGAUGACUGGAUACCACCGCCUCCGCCACUGCCAUUGUCUUUGUUGCUUCUUUGCUGGCCUUUGAUCAAGUCAAAGGCAACAGGAAGGCACAACGGCGAUCAAGGUCCUUAUGUACGCCGAGUACUAUCUUUUGUCUUGUGUGCAUCUUUAUAUAUGUCCAGGGCAUUGUGGCUAGAUUUAGUAGAGACAUGGUUACUAUUAGACCCAAGAUAUGUUAAUUGAACACAUGAUGACAAUCAUACAAACCAAGAACCUUGAGAUAGUACUUUAUUUCUAUGGUGUACUUGAAAUAAAAUUAAUCAUGCACUGGACUUGCACUAAUUAUGUUCAUGUAUGUGUUUUCGUGGGAAGCAAAACUCAUUUCUGUCAAAUUAGUGCAAGGUAACUAGACUCACCUUUGCAUAUAUAUUUUAGUUGAAAGAAAAUUGAACCAUAUAUGCUGGGUACCAAUAAAGUUAUCUACUGGUUCCUUCUGUUACUUUAUUCAGCUUCUGUUGUGUUUUUCACAAAAAAUAACUUAUGUUGCGUCUCUGUCCGGUUGAGUUGAGCAUAUGUAUACCUACCUCAGUCGGUGAGGUUUCUCUACCUUCGUUCUGUGACUCGAAUUGAUUUCUUUUCUAGGCUCUUUUACUGUAUCAUGUGUAUGUACCAUUGUUGCAUGUCUCUAAUUGUUUAUAUUGCUGAAAGCACAACCACUAAUACUAUGUUGUUGAUAGAUAAAACAUUUUAGAACCGCAUUGUUUAAGAAUUAAGAAAUUUAUGUCUCCGAUAUGGAAGUAUGUAUUAUGUUGUUGCCAAAUCUGGCAUUCUAAUUGUUGAUCCUUUUGUAGAAAAUAAGAUCCCAUGGUUAUUUGUGUUGUCACUUCGCAUGCGAAAAUAAUUAUGUGUGGUUUCAUGGACUCUUACCUUAUUGAUGGGCACCAGGCAGAGCCUGGGGAGAUGUAGGCCAGCGCUCCGCCUCUCUCACUUUCCAAGUCACCGUUGAGCCGCCUUCUUUGCUUCAGAGGCUUCUUGUGUCACCAUAGCAGAUCCGUGCAUCACAACAUGCAUGCAAAUCAAAAGAAGGAGUGUGGAGAAAGUUAUAUAUCAAGCAAAUUGGAUGAAGGCGUGUGGAUAAAGUUAUAUAUCCAAUAGCCAACCAUGUACUACUUUGGUGAUCUAAACGUUCUUAUAUUUCUUUACGGAGAGAGUAGUUUGUUGUGCAAUAUGAAAAACAUUGUAAAUAAGUUAUCUGGGACUAAUACUAUGGCCUGCUUUUUGGUUUCUAUCAUACCAGACCUUGCUCAGGUGUUUCAUGUCACAUUGUAUAACAAAUGCGCCAAUGGCAUGUAGAUAGGGCCAUUUUUUUACUGUUGUGAGUAUCUACCAUCAGGUACUCUUUGAGUAAUAUCAUAUAUAUUUCCAGAGAUAUAUUGAGCAA